rnacentral:rRNA from 1 species
UACGUAGGGGGCUAGCGUUGUCCGGAAUCAUUGGGCGUAAAGCGCGUGUAGGCGGUUCGGUAAGUCCGCUGUGAAAGUCGGGGGCUCAACCCUCGGAUGCCGGUGGAUACCGUCGGGCUUGAGUACGGAAGAGGCGAGUGGAAUUCCUGGUGUAGCGGUGAAAUGCGCAGAUAUCAGGAAGAACACCCGUGGCUAAGGCGGCUCUCUAGUACGGUACUGACGCUGAGACGCGAAAGCGUGGGGAGCGAACAGG